rnacentral:rRNA from 1 species
CCCUUAGAUGCUCUGGGCCGCACGCGCGCUACACUGGCCGAUGCAACGAGUUUCUUUCCUUGGCCGACAGGCCUGGGCAAUCUUUGAACAUCGAUCGUGAUCGGGAUAGAUUCUUGUAAUUUUUGAUCUUAAACGAGGAAUUCCUAGUAAACGCAAGUCAUCAGCUUGCAUUGAUUACGUCCCUGCCCUUUGUACACACCGCCCGUCGCUACUACCGAUUGAACGUUUUAGUGAGGUAUUUGGACUGGACCUUCGGAGGUUCGCGCCUCCGUUGCUGUUCGGGAAGACUCCCAAACUUGAGCGUUUAGAGGAAGUAAAANUCGUANCA